UACGAAGGGGGCUAGCGUUGUUCGGAAUCACUGGGCGUAAAGCGCACGUAGGCGGAUUUUUAAGUCAGGGGUGAAAUCCCGAGGCUCAACCUCGGAACUGCCUUUGAUACUGGGGAUCUGGAGUCCGGGAGAGGUGAGCGGAACUGCGAGUGUAGAGGUGAAAUUCGUAGAUAUUCGGAAGAACACCAGUGGCGAAGGCGACUUACUGGACACAUAUUGACGCUGAGGUGCGAAAGCGUGGGGAGCAAACAGG
rnacentral:rRNA from 1 species